UACGUAGGGGGCAAGCGUUAUCCGGAUUUACUGGGUGUAAAGGGCGUGUAGGCGGGGAAUUAAGUCAGAUGUGAAACUCUGGAGCUCAACUCCAGAACUGCAUCUGAAACUAAUUCUCUUGAGUGCAGUAGAGGUAAGUGGGAAUUCCUAGUGUAGCAGUGAAAUGCGUAGAGAUUAGGAGGAACACCAGUGGCGAAGGCGGCUUACUGGGCUGUAACUGACGCUGAGGCGCGAAAGCGUGGGGAGCAAACAGG
rnacentral:rRNA from 1 species